GCAGCAAAAAUAUCAGUAAAGGAACUCUGACCAAGAUCAAUUCAAUCCAAUGUCAAAAGCAUGCAAUAUCCUGCAACAAUUGAAAUGGCUAGUUAAGCCAUCAUUGUACCAUCUCUGGCUUUUUCAGUGCCAGACCAAAUAGUAAAGAAGCAACAAAAUUCGGACUUGACAUUGAUGAAUGCACAUUUUUAUUGAAAUUGGACAGAGACUAUGUACAACAGCUGACAUGAACUCCACAUCAGUCCAGCUAAUUGUAGUAUUGACAGAAGGCAAAUCCCAUAGAUAUUCCUCAUACUCAGUACCAGUUGCAGCCGCUAAGGAAUAGCUGACAUAC
rnacentral:lncRNA from 1 species